rnacentral:rRNA from 1 species
GACGUGCUAAUCUGCGAUAAGCGUCGGUGAGGUGAUAUGAACCGUUAUAACCGGCGAUUUCCGAAUGGGGAAACCCAGUGUGUUUCGACACACUAUCAUUAACUGAAUCCAUAGGUUAAUGAGGCGAACCGGGGGAACUGAAACAUCUAAGUACCCCGAGGAAAAGAAAUCAACCGAGAUUCCCCCAGUAGCGGCGAGCGAACGGGGAGGAGCCCAGAGCCUGAAUCAGUGUGUGUGUUAGUGGAAGCGUCUGGAAAGGCGCGCGAUACAGGGUGACAGCCCCGUACACAAAAAUGCACAUAUUGUGAGCUCGAUGAGUAGGGCGGGACACGUGGUAUCCUGUCUGAAUAUGGGGGGACCAUCCUCCAAGGCUAAAUACUCCUGACUGACCGAUAGUGAACCAGUACCGU